AGGUGGAUAGCUCAGUUGGUAGAGCACCGGAUUGGUAAUCCGGAGGUCGCAGGUUCAAGCCCCGCUCCAGUCA